rnacentral:tRNA from 1 species
GCGCCCGUAGCUCAAUCGGAUAGAGCACGUGACUUCGGAUCACGGGGUUGAGGGUUCGAGUCCUUCCGGGCGUA